UGGGGAUUAUUGCACAAUGGGCGCAAGCCUGAUGCAGCCAUGCCGCGUGUAUGAAGAAGGCCUUCGGGUUGUAAAGUACUUUCAGCGGGGAGGAAGGGAGUAAAGUUAAUACCUUUGCUCAUUGACGUUACCCGCAGAAGAAGCACCGGCUAACUCCGUGCCAGCAGCCGCGGUAAUACGGAGGGUGCAAGCGUUAAUCGGAAUUACUGGGCGUAAAGCGCACGCAGGCGGUUUGUUAAGUCAGAUGUGAAAUCCUCGGGCUCAACCUGGGAACUGCAUCUGAUACUGGCAAGCUUGAGUCUCGUAGAGGGGGGUAGAAUUCCAGGUGUAGCGGUGAAAUGCGUAGAGAUCUGGAGGAAUACCGGUGGCGAAGGCGGCCCCCUGGACGAAGACUGACGCUCAGGUGCGAAAGCGUGGGGAGCAAACAGG
rnacentral:rRNA from 1 species